AUUGAACGCUGGCGGCAUGCCUUACACAUGCAAGUCGAACGGUAACGCGGGGCAACCUGGCGACGAGUGGCGAACGGGUGAGUAAUGCAUCGGAACGUGCCCAGUAGUGGGGGAUAGCCCGGCGAAAGCCGGAUUAAUACCGCAUACGACCUACGGGUGAAAGCGGGGGACUGUAAGGCCUCGCGCUAUUGGAGCGGCCGAUGUCAGAUUAGGUAGUUGGUGGGGUAAAGGCCUACCAAGCCUUCGAUCUGUAGCUGGUCUGAGAGGACGACCAGCCACACUGGGACUGAGACACGGCCCAGACUCCUACGGGAGGCAGCAGUGGGGAAUUUUGGACAAUGGGCGCAAGCCUGAUCCAGCCAUGCCGCGUGCGGGAAGAAGGCCUCGGUUGUAA
rnacentral:rRNA from 1 species